UGCCAGCAGCCGCGGUAAUACGAAGGGACCUAGCGUAGUUCGGAAUUAUUGGGCGUAAAGGGCUCGUAGGCGGUUCGGUAAGUCGGGUGUGAAAACUCAGGGCUCAACCCUGAGACGCCACUCGAUACUGCCAUGACUAGAGUCCGGUAGGGGAGUGCGGAAUUCCUGGUGUAGCGGUGAAAUGCGCAGAUAUCAGGAGGAACACCGACAGCGAAGGCAGCACUCUGGGCCGGUACUGACGCUGAGGAGCGAAAGCGUGGGGAGCAAACAGGAUUAGAUA
rnacentral:rRNA from 1 species